rnacentral:rRNA from 1 species
UACGGGGGGGGCAAGCGUUGUUCGGAAUUACUGGGUGUAAAGGGCUCGUAGGCGGCCAACUAAGUCGGAUGUGAAAUCCCCAGGCUCAACCUGGGAACUGCAUCCGAUACUGGAUGGCUUGAAUUCGGGAGAGGGAUGCAGAAUUCCAGGUGUAGCGGUGAAAUGCGUAGAUAUCUGGAGGAAUACCGGUGGCGAAGGCGGCAUCCUGGACCGGCAUUGACGCUGAUGAGCGAAAGCUAGGGGAGCAAACGGG